rnacentral:piRNA from 1 species
UAGUUGAAGCACAACUUUUCA